rnacentral:rRNA from 1 species
GAUGAACGCUGGCGGCGUGCCUAUACAUGCAAGUCGAGCGAAUGGAUUAAGAGCUUGCUCUUAUGAAGUUAGCGGCGGACGGGUGAGUAACACGUGGGUAACCUGCCCAUAAGACUGGGAUAACUCCGGGAAACCGGGGCUAAUACCGGAUAACAUUUUGAACCGCAUGGUUCGAAAUUGAAAGGCGGCUUCGGCUGUCACUUAUGGAUGGACCCGCGUCGCAUUAGCUAGUUGGUGAGGUAACGGCGCACAAAGGCAACGAUGCGUAGCCGACCUGAGAGGGUGGUCGGCCCCACAUGGACUGAGCCACGGCCCAACCUCCUACAGGAGGCAGCGGUAGGGAAACUUCCGAAAUGGACGAAAGUCUGACGGAGCAACGCCGCGUGAGUGAUGAAGGCUUUCGGGUCGUAAAACUCUGUUGUUAGGGAAGAACAAGUGCUAGUUGAAUAAGCUGGCACCUUGACGGUACCUAACCAGAAAGCCACGGCUAACUACGUGCCAGCCGCCGCCGUAA